UUGACCACCCAACAGAGCUGUUUCCACAGACAGGGAUGGGUUGACACAUGGCUGAGGUCCACUUGGGGGUUACCCAGGGGCCUCCUGGCUCUCCUCUCCCCAGGAACUGGCCUCAGAGUAUUCGUGAGUUCCUCAGGCAGGAGGUAUGUCCAGCCUGAGCUUCAGUACGGCCAUGCCAUGAGAGGAGCCCGUUCUGUGAGGAAUCCAACUGCCAGAGUUCUAAUGACCCUCUGGAAGUCUUCCUGUUCCUGCCUGAGCAGGGCUUCCGCCCUCACCCCAUGAACUGUCACACGGCCCUGUCACCCACAGCUGCAGAGGCCAUGGUACCUGGGCUUCAGCCUCCUCCACGCUCAGACGAACAAAUAUCUGGGCUGGGACAACUGCUGAAGAAACCCGGAUGCGUGUGUGCCCGGAGAUACAGGCUUGAGUGUGUACCCUGCUGUAGGCUUUCUCAGCCUCGUCGCCCAGGGUAAUUUGUAGACCGGAGUCCAAGGUUGAAGGUCGAAUGGGAUGACAUCAGCAGCCAUCCGGUGGGAGAUGAGCCCUGCCGUGGUUCAUGGAGAGGGGACUCGGGGAAGGCAGUCAGGCAGCCAGGCAGCCAGGCAGCCAGGCAGAAUAAAAUUCAAAUUCUGCAAAGCGAUGUCUGAAGUGACAGGUUUCCAACAAGCUGCAUCCUCAGGAUGGCAGGUCGGGGUAGAAAGUGACAAUAAUGCAGGGCAGGGCAGCAUUGCAGUCACAUGCUGGGACUGAGGGCGAACCCAUGACACAUGCUAAGAGCUACUGGCAGAAUUCUUAACACUUUUAAAUCCCAGGGGUUUUGUUAUUAUUUUUAAAAUAUUUACACCCCACAAACACAUAGAGCAACUGAAUUCCCUUGUCACUAACCAUCCUUGUCCUUUGAUCUUAGAAAAUAAGUUCCCAAAAGCUUUACAUCAAGGCCCAUAAUAAAGGUGGAAUGUAAGGAUGGGUGGGAAAAGCACCCCAGGACAGCAGGUUCUCCCUCAAAUUCAUUCAGUAGAGAGAGGACUAGAAGCCAUCAGUGCUCACAGGCCACAGAUCUUCUCACAACCUCAUGGGUAACACACAGGCCGGCACAGAGGAAGACAUGCAUGUAAUUAUGGCAUCCAAGGUGUCCUCCCCGGCCCGCCUCUUCCAGGUAUGUUCAAUACCAGCUUACAGUUUUCAAGUCAGUGUGUGGGAACCACUUGGAAGGUCAUCAAUGCAAGGCAGGGAAUCCACCUGCUUCGAAUGAAUAUAUAGGUCAUUUCCACGAGGCGGGACCCUGUGAUGGAAGGUCAGGGGUUAAACUCUCGCCUUCCCAAGGGCUGUACUGUUGCACAGGCGAACACCUGCCCAAGCAUUCACACCCUGGAGUGUGGGUGUCACUAUGCACGGUGGUUUCCAGGCUUGCAGCCACUCCUUAAAGGAACACAGCACCCAGGAAGUUUGCUGGGCUCUCUGCUUAGCUCUCACAGGAGACAUUGUUCAUUCUCAAGCAGACCCCACAACUGGACGGAGCCAGCAGCCAUGACCAGCGUCUGCCUUGCUACAUGAACGUUGGCAGCAUAUGACCUCUGCUGCCAGCUCUCCACUGUGGCAUUUCUAGGGUCAGGUUCACAGAAUGUCACCUCUCCUGUCCCACAGACCUCUCCCAUGCGGAAAGAUAAACAUCACAUGCAGAGAUGUGAUGUGGAUCACCAGCCAUCACCGGAGAAGCCUGAGAUGUCUUUGGGUGACCACAUUUCCCAUCCCAAACUCUCUGGCCUCAAAAUUGGGUUACCUAAAAGCCACUUAAAAUAUCACAGUGUUGGGGGCCAGUGCCGUUCAGGAUAGCCCUCACCAGCAGGCAGUAGACAGGCCUCCUAGCUACCACUAGGCCAGUUUGAAGAAAACCCAAGUAUAAAGCCCACCCCUUUCUCAUCGGCCAGGACAGCUACUGUUUGCUGAAGUCUGCAGAGCUUCAUUCCCACAGUGAAAAACACAAGAGAACUUAGGGAUUCUUGAACUUCAGUGUCCCAAGCAAUUAAAUUAUUUCAAUUGGC